rnacentral:rRNA from 1 species
AGUGAACGCUGGCGGUAGGCCUAACACAUGCAAGUCGAACGGCAGCACAGUAAGAGCUUGCUCUUACGGGUGGCGAGUGGCGGACGGGUGAGGAAUACAUCGGAAUCUACUUUUUCGUGGGGGAUAACGUAGGGAAACUUACGCUAAUACCGCAUACGACCUACGGGUGAAAGCAGGGGAUCUUCGGACCUUGCGCGAUUGAAUGAGCCGAUGUCGGAUUAGCUAGUUGGCGGGGUAAAGGCCCACCAAGGCGACGAUCCGUAGCUGGUCUGAGAGGAUGAUCAGCAACACUGGAACUGAGACACGGUCCAGACUCCUACGGGAGGCAGCAGUGGGGAAUAUUGGACAAAGGGCGCAAGCCUGAUCCAGCCAUACCGCGUGAGUGAAGAAGGCCUUCGGGUUGUAAAGCCCUUUUGUUGGGAAAGAAAAGCAGCAGGUUAAUACCCCGCUGUUCUGACGGUACCCAAAGAAUAAGCACCGGCUAACUUCGUG